GAUGAACGCUAGCGGGAGGCCUAAUACAUGCAAGUCGAGCGGUAGAGUGACUUCGGUUGCUUGAGAGCGGCGAACGGGUGAGUAACGCGUACACAAUCUACCUUUAAGAGGGGAAUAGCCCUGGGAAACUGGGAUUAAUGCCCCAUGGCAUCACGAGACGGCAUCGUUUUGUGAUUAAAGCUGAGGUGCUUAGAGAUGAGUGUGCGUCUGAUUAGCUAGUUGGUGCGGUAACGGCGCACCAAGGCGACGAUCAGUAGGGGGCGUGAGAGCGUGGACCCCCACACGGGUACUGAGACACGGACCCGACUCCUACGGGAGGCAGCAGUAAGGAAUAUUGGUCAACGGAGGAAACUCUGAACCAGCCAUCCCGCGUGCAGGAAGAAUGCCCUAUGGGUUGUAAACUGCUUUUAUCUGGGAAGAAAGUCGGGAUUUAUCCUGAUCUGACGGUACCAGAGGAAUAAGCACCGGCUAACUCCGUGCCAGCAGCCGCGGUAAAG
rnacentral:rRNA from 1 species